UACGUAGGGGGCUAGCGUUGUUCGGAAUUACUGGGCGUAAAGCGCACGUAGGCGGCUUUGUAAGUUAGAGGUGAAAGCCCGGGGCUCAACUCCGGAAUUGCCUUUAAGACUGCAUCGCUAGAAUUGUGGAGAGGUAAGUGGAAUUCCGAGUGUAGAGGUGAAAUUCGUAGAUAUUCGGAAGAACACCAGUGGCGAAGGCGACUUACUGGACAGAUAUUGACGCUGAGGUGCGAAAGCGUGGGGAGCAAACAGG
rnacentral:rRNA from 1 species